rnacentral:rRNA from 1 species
GAUGAACGCUGGCGGCGUGCCUAAUACAUGCAAGUCGAGCGAACGGACGAGAAGCUUGCUUCUCUGAUGUUAGCGGCGGACGGGUGAGUAACACGUGGAUAACCUACCUAUAAGACUGGGAUAACUUCGGGAAACCGGAGCUAAUACCGGAUAAUAUUUUGAACCGCAUGGUUCAAAAGUGAAAGACGGUCUUUCUGUCACUUAUAGAUGGAUCCACGCUGCAUUAGCUAGUUGGUAAGGUAACGGCUUACCAAGGCAACGAUGCAUAGCCGACCUGAGAGGGUGAUAGGCCACACGGGAACUGAGACACGGACCAGAAUCCUACGGGAGGCAGCAGUAGGGAAUAUUCCGCAAUGGGCGAAAGCAUGACGGAGCAACGCCGCGUGAGUGAUGAAGGUCUUCGGAUCGUAAAACUCUGUUAUUAGGGAAGAACAUAUGUGUAAGUAACUGUGCACAUCUUGACGGUAACUAAUCAGAAAGCCACGGCUAACUACGUG